rnacentral:rRNA from 1 species
UGGCGGACGGGUGAGUAAUGUCUGGGAAACUGCCCGAUGGAGGGGGAUAACUACUGGAAACGGUAGCUAAUACCGCAUAACGUCGCAAGACCAAAGAGGGGGACCUUCGGGCCUCUUGCCAUCGGAUGUGCCCAGAUGGGAUUAGCUAGUAGGUGGGAUAGGCUCACCUAGGCGACGAUCCCUAGCUGGUCUGAGAGGAUGACCAGCCACACUGGAACUGAGACACGGUCCAG